UGGCGGACGGGUGAGGAAUACAUCGGAAUCUACUCUGUCGUGGGGGAUAACGUAGGGAAACUUACGCUAAUACCGCAUACGACCUACGGGCGAAAGCAGGGGAUCUUCGGACCUUGCGCGAUUGAAUGAGCCGAUGUCGGAUUAGCUAGUUGGCGGGGUAAAGGCCCACCAAGGCGACGAUCCGUAGCUGGUCUGAGAGGAUGAUCAGCCACACUGGAACUGAGACACGGUCCAGACUCCUACGGGAGGCAGCAGGC
rnacentral:rRNA from 1 species